rnacentral:misc_RNA from 1 species
AGAUGAAUCAAGAUGAGCCAAACUCUGCUUAAGCCACCAUCUUGAAACUCUACCAGGAUAAUAAUGCCCUUCUUCUUCAGGAGCAUAAAUAAACACAGCAAUAACUGCCCCUGCUCUAACUCCAGCAGCCAAAGCAGGGUUAUCUUCCACUCUCAGAUCCCUUCUAAACCAUACUAUGCUACAACCACCACCUGACAUCUUCCUUCAACAACACCAAAGACUAGUCUUUUUCUCUCUAUUUUUCUCUCUUUCUAUGUAAACACCAUGUUAUUGAGUCUUUCUUAGACAGAAGUAUAUUGGGGUUAAUCUUAUCUAUACUUUGACUGUUCCCUGUAGCUUUCACUGAGGAGAUAAAGAUUACAAAGAUGAUUUUUUUUAGGCAAAUUCUAGUAAAGAACCUAACUUUAACAAACCCCAAAUGUUAU